UACGUAGGGGGCGAGCGUUGUCCGGAUUUAUUGGGCGUAAAGAGCUCGUAGGCGGUCUGUCGCGUCUGCUGUGAAAACCUGGGGCUUAACCCCGGGCCUGCAGUGGGUACGGGCAGACUAGAGUGCGGUAGGGGAGACUGGAAUUCCUGGUGUAGCGGUGAAAUGCGCAGAUAUCAGGAGGAACACCGGUGGCGAAGGCGGGUCUCUGGGCCGUAACUGACGCUGAGACGCGAAAGCGUGGGGAGCGAACAGG
rnacentral:rRNA from 1 species